rnacentral:rRNA from 1 species
AUUGAACGCUGGCGGCAUGCCUUACACAUGCAAGUCGAACGGCAGCGCGGGAGCAAUCCUGGCGGCGAGUGGCGAACGGGUGAGUAAUAUAUCGGAACGUGCCCAUUAGUGGGGGAUAGCCCGGCGAAAGCCGGAUUAAUACCGCAUACGACCUGAGGGUGAAAGCGGGGGAUCGCAAGACCUCGCGCUAUUGGAGCGGCCGAUAUCAGAUUAGCUAGUUGGUGGGGUAAAGGCCUACCAAGGCAACGAUCUGUAGUUGGUCUGAGAGGACGACCGGCCACACUGGGACUGAGACACGGCCCAGACUCCUACGGGAGGCAGCAGUGGGGAAUUUUGGACAAUGGGCGCAAGCCUGAUCCAGCAAUGCCGCGUGCAGGAAGAAGGCCUUCGGGUUGUAAACUGCUUUUGUCAGGGAAGAAAUCCUUUGGGCUAAUACCUCGGAGGGAUGACGGUACCUGAAGAAUAAGCACCGGCUAACUACGUGCCAGCCGCCGCCGUAA